rnacentral:rRNA from 1 species
UGAGGAAUAUUCGGCAAUGGGGGAACCCUGACCGAGCAACGCCGCGUGGAGGAUGACGGUUUUUGGAUUGUAAACUCCUUUUCUCAGGGAAGAGUGAGGACGGUACCUGAGGAAUAAGUCACGGCUAACUACGUGCCAGCAGCCGCGGUAAUACGUAGGUGGCAAGCGUUAUCCGGAAUUACUGGGCGUAAAGCGCACGCAGGUGGCCUGUUAAGACUGACGUGAAAGCUCCUGGCUUAACUGGGAGAGGUCGUUGGAGACUGGCAGGCUUGAGGCGAGGAGAGGGGUGUAGAAUUCCCGGUGUAGUGGUGGAAUGCGUAGAGAUCGGGAGGAAUACCAGUGGCGAAAGCGGCACCCUGGCCUUGGCCUGACGCUCAGGUGCGAAAGCGUGGGGAGCGAACG